rnacentral:rRNA from 1 species
CAAUAGCGUAUAUUAAAGUUGUUGCAGUUAAAAAGCUCGUAGUUGGACUUCUGCGGGUGGCGGCCGGUCGUGCCCUUUUGUGGCGUGAACUUGGCUCUUUGCCGCCCGCAUCUUUGGGGAGAUUGUGCGUGGCAUUAGGUUGUCGUGCAUGGGAUUCUCAUCAUUUACUGUGAAAAAAUUAGAGUGUUUAAAGCAGGCCUUUGCCUUGAAUACAUUAGCAUGGAAUAAUAAGAUAGGACCGUUGUCUAUUUUGUUGGUUUACAGAUGUCGGUAAUGAUUAAUAGGGAUAGUUGGGGGUAUUCGUAUUCAGUUGUCAGAGGUGAAAUUCUUGGAUUUUCGGAAGACGCACGACUGCGAAAGCAUUUACCAAGGAUGUUUNCAUUAA